CACAUCCGAAGAGUGAUGCAGCAGUACUACCUGAAUGUGCUGCACAGGUGCAUUGACACAGGUCACCACCCCUUAAGUGAAAUCAGGAAUGAAGAUGUGAAUCUGCAUCUCACAGGGAAGCAAAGGAUGGAUUCGGGCAGAUCGACAGACUCAAAGCACAGUGCAGAUGGGAGCUUAGGUGCAGUGCAUUCUGGGAAGAUCAUCCUGCCCAAAAUUAGUAAUAAACAGACCAGCAAAGCAUCGAGCACUUCAGCCUCAAAUGAAAGGAAAUCCAGAAAACGGAGGACAAAUGUUUCAACGGCACAAAGCAGAUCUGUCAGA